rnacentral:rRNA from 1 species
GAUGAACGCUGGCGGCGUGCCUAAUACAUGCCAGUCGAGCGAACAGACGAGGAGCUUGCUCCUCUGACGUUAGCGGCGGACGGGUGAGUAACACGUGGAUAACCUACCUAUAAGACUGGGAUAACUUCGGGAAACCGGAGCUAAUACCGGAUAAUAUAUUGAACCGCAUGGUUCAAUAGUGAAAGACGGUUUUGCUGUCACUUAUAGAUGGAUCCGCGCCGCAUUAGCUAGUUGGUAAGGUAACGGCUUACCAAGGCAACGAUGCGUAGCCGACCUGAGAGGGUGAUCGGCCACACUGGAACUGAGACACGGUCCAGACUCCUACGGGAGGCAGCAGUAGGGAAUCUUCGGCAAUGGGCGAAAGCCUGACGGAGCAACGCCGCGUGAGUGAUGAAGGUCUUCGGAUCGUAAAACUCUGUUAUUUGGGAAGAACAAAUGUGUAAGUAACUAUUCCCGUCUUGACGUUACCUAAUCAGAAAGCCACGGCUAACUACGUG